UGGGCAGAUCCGGGCCCAACGUUGUUGAAACGUUCCUGGAAGGUUGUUUCCAAACCGUGAGUUUCAACAUCUUUGUACCUGUUUCUUCCAUU